rnacentral:rRNA from 1 species
CCAAUAGCGUAUAUUAAAGUUGUUGCAGUUAAAAAGCUCGUAGUUGAAUUUCGGGGUUAGUAGGUUGGUCAUGCCUCUGGUAUGUACUGGUCUCACUGAUUCCUCCUUCCUGAUGAGCCGUAAUGCCAUUAAUUUGGUGUUGCGGGGAAUUUGGACUGUUACUUUGAAAAAAUUAGAGUGUUUAAAGCAAGCUAACGCUUGAAUACAUUAUCAUGGAAUAAUGAAAUAGGACGUUCGAUCCUAUUUUGUUGGUUUCUAGGAUUGACGUAAUGAUUAAUAGGGAUAUUUGGGGGGAUUAGUAUUCAUUUGUCAGAGGUGAAAUUCUUGUAUUUAGUUAAGACUAACUACUGCGAAAGCAUUUGACAAGGAUGUUUUCAUUAGUCAAGAACGAAAGUUAGUGGAUCGAAGACGAUCAGAUACCGUCGUAGUCUUAACCAUAAACUAUGCCGACUAGGGAUCGGAUGAUGUUAAUUUUUUAAUGACUCAUUCGGCGCCUUACG